GCUCUUCCUCAAACCCCGUUUCGAUCUUUCUCUUCCUCAGCUCAAUUCGGCAACUUCGUGGUGACAGUGAUGGCAGGAUGCGACGGCGACGGUGGUACCGGGCCGGCGAUGCUCUUCUUCCCUUCCGCCGGCGCUAUCUCUUCCUCCGAUC